rfam:Alicyclobacillus ferrooxydans strain TC-34 contig_53, whole genome shotgun sequence.
CCCACUUAGAAUUGUGAGUGCGAGCCUACCAUGACAAGGGAUGGUGGUAACGCCGUCUUUUGAAGCUCAUGGGACAAUGUAGCCGCGUCCUGAAAGGGCAAUUCGGGCCGGAGC